GGGACGGCGGGCCCUGCCCGGCCUGUGGCGGCCCGGGAGGCACAGCCCAGGGGUGGGCCGCUGCUGCCGUGCUAUUUCCCAGAAAAUGGACGUUAUUUAAGGAGCAAUGAAAUUGUGAUGUUUACUUACGGCUUACUGCAGGUGUUUGUCAGGCAUCUUUAAUCUAAAGAAAGAACCACAGAAAAGAACUGCAUAUUUACUAGACUGUUAACACAAGAAGAACGCGUUAUAGCUGGCUACUUCACCGUUGCCCUGAACUUUCCAGUGCAGAGCUUACUGUGAUUGAUUUUACAGAUACAGGACUCCUGACAGUUUUUUCACACUGCGGCUAAUACCUUGGUCUUGCAAACGAAAGUGAGUCCUGAGUUUGCUCCUGUUAUCUCAAUGGGCAGUCCUGUUCUCUUCCACCUUUAUGAGAAAAAACAACUU